GAAUGCAAGAGCACAUGUAUACAAAAAGGCAAUACUCGCACGCACACCCAUGCUGGUUAUGGCUUAUAAAAACGAAUCGAGUGGAGAAGAAGAAGAGGGCUAUGGGCCCGAUACAAUACGCUCUCUCGGCAACUCCGACAACGACGACGAAGACGGCUACGAGAACGACAACGACGACGUGUAUUCAACAGAUUCAUAAAAAUCAACAAAAUUACAAGAACAACAAUAACAACAACAACCAUCACAGCAGCAGCAGCAGCAAGAAGGAAAACAAACCCAACAUGGUUUUGUUUGAGUUGUGUUUGCAAUUGAAUGCUUGUAGAGGAGCGCUCUGCAUGCGUAGCUGCGUGCCUCUGUGUGUAUGCGAGUGUUUGUUGUGGAUGUUGAUAAUGACGAUGAUGGUGAUGAUGAUGAUGAUGAUGAUGAUGACGAUGACGAUGAGAUUGGGCCGACAUCAUCGUCGUCGCAACAGCAACAGAUUGAAAACAUUAACAAGUAGUUGAAAGUCAGCGUCUCUGCUGGCAGCGCAUUGACUGCGUUAAUGGUAUGACGUUGACGUCGAUGAUGGCACAAAUACUCCGAAUAAAAAAGUAGGUAUAUUACCUUAGAAUGCCAGUCGUUCUUACUUCAGUCUUCGUACAGUCUUUGCUUUAACCCGUUCCAAAUUCUGUCCGCCGCCGUUUUGCUCUAUAUUAUACAACAACAACAAUUGCAAUCAAUCAAUCAUUCUUAAAGAAAUAGCUAAAACAGUAUAAAUUAAAAAUUAAAUAGCCCAAAUAUUCAAAAACGUUAAGGAAUUUUUCUCUAUCACACAACCAGCCAGCCAGCCAACCAUCCAUAUUUUCCACAAAAACGAAACGACGACGAAAAAUCAAAGUUGAGCUUAGUUCAAUUCGAAUACGGCAGUAAUAGCAGCAACACCGGUCGUCCCGUGUAGUAGUCAGUCGUCGCCACUUAGUCGUUGUCUCGUCUCUCACACGCAAAAACCAACUAAACCAAUCAACAGCAACAACAAUAACACACCUUUACUACUAUUUUAUUUUCAAAACCAUAAUCAACAAGAAUUAAAACGCGCGACAACAACACCUUUUAACAAAAACAACAAUAACGGCAAAUCCAAUUACCAUUACCAACAAGAAACAGAAGAAGAAUUUAUUCUACAAUUAGCCUGAUCUAUUUUUUGAGAAUCUAGCAUUCCUCUUCAUAACGGAAAUCACUCUCCGAUUCAAAGAAAGAAAACAUAAACUGAUCUACCUACAUUUCAUAAAAAACAGAAAAUACGGUCUUGUGAAAUCUCUAACUCCAAUCUCCAAGAAAAAUCUUUUGACUACCAUUAAAAAAAAGAGAAAAUUACAUUUAUAAUCAUUUCAAUCAGAACCAAUCUCUACAACCUACAAAAAUCAAAUCAAAUCAAACAAAAAAAAAAAAACCUUCGACCACAUAUAAUUGAGCAAUUCUUCAAAAACAAAGAAAUUCCAAUUCAAACAACAAUUUCAAGUGGUAUUUGCUUCUGAUCCACGCCAUAUCCUAUUCGCUCCACUCCAAAUCCUUUCAUAAAGAUUUCCAAAACCAGCAAAUCCUAGAAAUAUAAAGAAACACAAAAC
rnacentral:sRNA from 1 species